CAACUUUAAUGGCCUGUUGACAUUUUUAAUGAGUGUCAUUUGAACACAUGUAGGAUUUGAUGGGUGAUUAGGAGUGGAUUAAAGAUAUCAGUUUCUGAUGCUUGCUCUGAAAGUUUUGACCAACCUGAGGUAGUACCUUGUAUUUUAAACGAGGUUUAUGACUGUAGCAAUAAUUAUUAAAGUGCUUCCAUAUUGACAUGUAACAUGUCGGAAUUGAUCAAUUAUUUUUUAUUUUCUUCAGGCUAAACAAGUCAAAGUUGAGGACGCAAAAAUAAAGAGAUUGCAGCUGAAGGAAAGGGAUGAAGUAAAUGAGAGUGUUGGCAAUCAUAUUAUCAAAAAAGCCAAGAAAGAAACUGAUACGGAGAGCCAGCAAAACAUUUUCCUUGACCAACUGUGCAGAAUAGAGAACAAGGUGGAUACUCUGAACAAUGCUGUGGAAACUCUACUUGGGUGCAGAUCCUGCCUUCGAAAGAUAUACAAGAAGUUGGAUGGUAACAAGUUCCAAUCAGUCCAAGACCGACAGGGAAAACACCUAGCAGUAGCAUGAAAGUGGUAACUACAUCAACAGAGUCAUUAAAUGAGAACGAGUUGUCAGUAGUUAGUGCCAGCAAAAUCACAGGAGGAAAAUGCAGACUGUGAUGACCUGCAGCAUUCAAACAGUUUACCCCUGCCGAUUGAAGAAGACGAACUGGCCCAUGUUGGGGAUGUAAAGUACGGCAUAAGAAUCCCAAAAGAUGCUCUGAUGAGGUGUGAGAAAAGUGCCAAAUCAGCCGAAAAAUUGGCAUUAAAUCUCAUAGAAUUUCUUCUAAGUCCAGAGGAGCUUCAAACAGUAACUGUUUAUGGAAAUUUACAGCAUAAAAAAGUUCCAAUGGACGAAAACAAAAGAAGGGCCUUGAGAAGUAAGAUUUGCCUCUAUCAUAAUGU